rnacentral:rRNA from 1 species
CCGCACAAGCGGUGGAGCAUGUGGUUUAAUUCGAUGCAACGCGAAGAACCUUACCUACCCUUGACAUCCAGGGAAAAGCUUGUAAUGAGCUUAAUGCCUUCGGGAACCCUGUGACAGGUGCUGCAUGGCUGUCGUCAGCUCGUGUCGUGAGAUGUUGGGUUAAGUCCCGCAACGAGCGCAACCCUCGCCCUUAGUUGCCAGCAUUUAGUUGGGCACUCUAGGGGGACUGCCGGUGAUAAGCCGAGAGGAAGGUGGGGAUGACGUCAAGUCCUCAUGGCCCUUACGGGCUGGGCUACACACGUGCUACAAUGGCGGUGACAAUGGGCAGCGAACCCGCGAGGGGGAGCUAAUCUCAAAAAGCCGUCUCAGUUCGGAUUGUUCUCUGCAACUCGAGAGCAUGAAGUUGGAAUCGCUAGUAAUCGCGUAACAGCAUGACGCGGUGAAUACGUUCCCGGGCCUUGUACACACCGCCCGUCACACCAUGGGAGUUGGGUUUACCCGAAGGCAGUGCGCUAACCGUAAGGGGGCAGCUGACCACGGUAGGCUCAGCGACUGGGGUGAAGUCGUAACAAGGUAGCCGUAGGGGAACCUGCGGCUG